rnacentral:misc_RNA from 1 species
GAUGAAGAACGUAGCGAAAUGCGAUAAGUAAUGUGAAUUGCAGAAUUCAGUGAAUCAUCGAAUCUUUGAACGCAUCUUGCGCUCCUUGGUAUUCCUUGGAGCAUGUCUGUUUGAGUAUCAUGAGCAAACCUCAAAGUCAAUUCCUUUUGUUAAUUCAAUUGGUUUUGCUUUGGACUUGGAGGUCUUGCAGAUUUCACAGUCUGCUCCUCUUAAAUGCAUUAGCUGGAUCUCAGUAAUUAUGCUUGGUUCCACUCGGCGUGAUAAGUAUCACUCGCUGAGGACACUGUUAAAAAGGUGGCCAGGAAAAUACUGAUUGAACCGCUUCUAACGGUCUAUUAAGUUAGACAAUUACCCUUAAGUUUGAUCUCAAAUCAGGUAGGACUACCCGCUGAACUUAAGCAUAUCAAUAAGCGGAGGA